GAUGAACGCUGGCGGCGUGCCUAAUACAUGCAAGUCGAGCGAACAGACGAGGAGCUUGCUCCUCUGACGUUAGCGGCGGACGGGUGAGUAACACGUGGAUAACCUACCUAUAAGACUGGGAUAACUUCGGGAAACCGGAGCUAAUACCGGAUAACAUGUUGAACCGCAUGGUUCAACAGUGAAAGACGGUUUUGCUGUCACUUAUAGAUGGAUCCGCGUCGCAUUAGCUAGUUGGUAAGGUAACGGCUUACCAAGGCAACGAUGCGUAGCCGACCUGAGAGGGUGAUCGGCCACACUGGAACUGAGACACGGUCCAGACUCCUACGGGAGGCAGCAGUAGGGAAUCUUGCGCAAUGGGCGCAAGCCUGACGGAGCAACGCCGCGUGAGUGAAGAAGGUCUUCGGAUCGUAAAACUCUGUUGUUAGGGAAGAACAGAUGUGUAAGUAACUAUGCACGUCUUGACGGUACCUAAUCAGAAAGCCACGGCUAACUACGUG
rnacentral:rRNA from 1 species